GAGAUUUUAACAACUUGGUGCCGUGACCCGGAUCUUUGGUGUGCUGAGGAAGGGCAGAUUUGGCCUGUGGUGAGAUCGUGAGGCGAGGCGAACAGAGGGCCGGUCCAAAAACAGAAAGGCUGCUUUGCCGGCCCUGGAAGCCGAGGCUGACCUGGACUCCUGCUCUCCCCUCUACCAUCUUUGAUGUGACCCUGACCAAACGCUGCAGCAGCUGCACCCACAACAACAACCUGAAAAUGUCAACAGUGCUGCAGGAAAAGGAUCUCAUGCAACAGAGACGGAGGGCGUUAAACCCAAGGCCUGUUUCACUACACGGGGGAAAUUUCCAGACAGCUUCAGCUGACAAAGGGCAGUGAUGGACCAACAUGGAUGAUCGGGCAGCAAAAAGGGCGUGCCAGACACAGGAGGAGCAACUGAGGUCAAAAGGCACCUCAGAACGGACAAAACACAGAAGAUGAUGCAGGUUUCACCUGCGGUGAGCAUGGACACUGGAGAAAAGGACUGCCUCAAUUGGGGUCAGAACCAGGACGGACUGAACUUUGAACAGCAGCAGCAAUGGUGGCAAACAGACUGAAAAGGAGGAGGGCAGGACCCCAGGGCAUGCUUCAGGCCAUGGUUUACCCAAGACACCAGAACAGGAAAGUGAUGAACACACACACACACGUCUACACACACACACCGAUUCAGAAUGAAGUGAAAUAUACAC